rnacentral:rRNA from 1 species
GUCGAACGAGAGAGAAGGAGCUUGCUUCUUCGAUCGAGUGGCGAACGGGUGAGUAACGCGUGAGGAACCUGCCUCAAAGAGGGGGACAACAGUUGGAAACGACUGCUAAUACCGCAUAAGCCCACGGGUCGGCAUCGACCUGAGGGAAAAGGAGCAAUCCGCUUUGAGAUGGCCUCGCGUCCGAUUAGCUAGUUGGUGAGGUAACGGCCCACCAAGGCGACGAUCGGUAGCCGGACUGAGAGGUUGAACGGCCACAUUGGGACUGAGACACGGCCCAGACUCCUACGGGAGGCAGCAGUGGGGAAUAUUGCACAAUGGGGGAAACCCUGAUGCAGCGACGCCGCGUGGAGGAAGAAGGUCUUCGGAUUGUAAACUCCUGUUGUUGAGGAAGAUAAUGACGGUACUCAACAAGGAAGUGACGGCUAACUACGUGCCA